AGUGAACGCUGGCGGUAGGCCUAACACAUGCAAGUCGAACGGCAGCACAGGAGAGCCUGCUCUCUAGGUGGCGAGUGGCGGACGGGUGAGGAAUACAUCGGAAUCUGCCCAGUCGUGGGGGAUAACGUAGGGAAACUUACGCUAAUACCGCAUACGACCUUCGGGUGAAAGAGGGGGAUCGCAAGACCUCUCGCGAUUGGAUGAGCCGAUGUCGGAUUAGCUAGUUAGCGGGGUAAUGGCCCACCAAGGCGACGAUCCGUAGCUGGUCUGAGAGGAUGAUCAGCCACACUGGAACUGAGACACGGUCCAGACCCCUACGGGAGGCAGCAGUGGGGAAUAUUGGACAAUGGGCGCAAGCCUGAUCCAGCCAUACCGCGUGGGUGAAGAAGGCCUUCGGGUUGUAAAGCCCUUUUGUUGGGAAAGAAAUCUUUCAGGCUAAUACCCUGGGAGGAUGACGGUACCCAAAGAAUAAGCACCGGCUAACUUCGU
rnacentral:rRNA from 1 species